ensembl:lncRNA
GUCACAACUAAAACUGGAUUAGUCCCCUCUAAGAGAGCAUCCAUGCAGCUGGUAUUAGCAGGUAUUCCUCACUUUUCAGGGUCAAGGCAGUCAAGGGGACAGAGUGACAGUGGUCAGAUAAAUAUGGUCACAUGCAAGUAAAAUCUCAUUACCUCUACACUUACCUCACCCUGGAGAGUGCUCAGACUGCAUGGAGAUUCCUAGCCUUCCUCAUGCCACCUCUUUAUAGUUAAAGGCCCAGCAUCUAGUUUGUCUUGAUAGUGAGGCUGAAGAAUAGGUUUAAAAACACUUCAGAGACAGUCGUAUUUGCAUGUGUUUUUUUAGAACUCCUGACUUAGCCACGUCUUGUUUUACUCAUAGAUGCAUUUGGUGGUUGAUGUGAGAUCCUCUUACUACGUACAAACUGACAUGCCAUUGGAGAGUCUGGGGAUCUAUAUGAUCAAUUAAAAUUUCAAAGAAAAAUAAUACAGCGUUUCUCUGCUUCCCGUCUUUUUUGACAGAUUCACAAGAUCACCACAAGAGGGUAAUGUUUCAGCAGACAAAACUUCCGUAAGAUUAAGCUGUUAAGGAAAAGUAAGGACCAGUAUUGUGUAGAAACUAUUGCUUUUCUACUUGAAGAAAAGGCUGUGCUGUUCUAAAAUUACAAAGGCAAAAAACUCCAGGAACUCUGAAGAUGGGAACCCAUCUAGCCAUGCAUUGCGCUUAGUGUUUUCAGGUACUCCAGAAGAGUCCUUCUCAGGCAUGUUCACAGCCACUUCUGAGUUUCUAAACUAUGCGUUGAAAAAAAAAACAAUACUGUGUGCUACAUGGUGCCUUUUCUACUGUGAUGGUUUUCAUCUAUAGCUAAUUCUCAUAAUUCACUAGUGCAAUGCAUUUUCCUCCGAGAGUUACUUUAGGUAGGUUUAUUUCUCUUUUGGUUACUAGCUUACUUGUAUUGUAAAAAGCUUUAAGAAAACCUAGAGUAGUAGAGCAGGACUGGCAGUAACCAAAGGCUUGUGUCUUAGCUUCAGCUGUGUGGCUGAACCUGUGGCUGUGCCCUGACCAAUUUGUUUACGCUUAUGUGAUGAAGAGCUGUCUCAAACACAGCUUGUAUUAAGGCUUACAAAUGAAGAAACAAGAACAUUGAUAGUGCAAAAAACGUCACCAUUCCUUCCUGCUUUGACUCAUUAGAGCUAACAAGAUUGAAAUGAAGGAAUGAAAAAUACUCAGUGACUGAGAAGUUGGUACAUGAAUAAGCACUUGAGUAGUUCAUAAGGACCACAAAGAAAAAUGACAAUAGACCAGUUCACCAACUGACAGUAUAAAAUCUCAGAAAGGCCCUGUCCAGCUGACUGCAACUAACUGCAUGACACAAAUUCAGGAGUUUCAGUGGUUCUGCAUCAGGAGUGUGCUGCAGCAGCUCCGAUCCUCAGGCUCCCGCGUCCUUACAUUAAAAUGUAUUAUUUCCUUGAACGUUCUCAUGUAGCAGAUUAGCCUGUGGAAACCAUCAUGUCUAUUCUGCUGUGAAUUACAUCUCUGCUGCUAAAAUCUUAUCAUUUUCAGGUAGAAUUCUUUUUAGCACCAAGUAGAAAAUCACAGUGUCAACUUCUGCCUUACAAGACAAAGACUUUGCCAUGACCAUAUGUAUUAAGAUUCCAUGGUAAUUUCAGCAUUCAACAAUUUACAAAACAUGCCA